GCCUAGUUAGCUUAGUUGGUAGUGCGUCUGCCUCGUAUGCGCUAGGCCGCGGGUUCGAUUCCCGCCCGGGGCG
rfam:Asian citrus Psyllid, Diaphorina citri - Florida Strain, whole genome shotgun sequence.